AUCCAGUGCCUUGCUAGUCACAAGGCACAAGUUGUCUUGUCCCCUCAGAUCCACCCUUAAUUCAGAUCCAAUGGCCACCUAACAAACCAAGCCAAAUCCCAGGAUGUUGACCAGUUGACCAGACCCAGGCACGCACAGAACACAGGCAAAAUUAAUUGCGGGAAGAGAAGGGCUUGCGCGGGCUGGACUUCCCAGGCGGCGGAGCUCUGCCGGCGCCGCAGAGGGAAAGGGGCGGGACGGAGUUCGGGCGGCUGCACCCGGAGAACAGGACGCCGGCGGGGUCGUCCGCCCCCACCACGGCGGGCUCCUCCGCUCAGACCCAUCUCGCCCAAGCCCGCCUCGCGGUGGGAGACAGAGGUACGGAGCUCGGGCAGCUGCGGCCGGAGAAGACGCCGCCGGCAGGGCCCUCCGCCCCCACUACGACGGCCUCCUCCGCCCAACGCCCAGCUCCAACGACGCCCUCUGCCCCGCUCCGGUCUGACUCCUCUUGCAGGAUUCUAUUACUCUGAUGUCCAAUUGUUAGUGUUGUGCAUUCACAAGUAUUUUGCAAUGGGAGAAAUUGACAAGGGGAUGCCUCAAAUUGGUAUGAGGUUUAGAAAUCCAGAUGAAGCUUGGGUGUUUUGGGUUGCAUAUGGAGGCCGCGCAGGGUUUGAUGUGAGGAAGAGAAACAAAUAUGCAAGCAAGAUAGAUGGCGAAGUUACAUCAUGCACAUUUGUUUGUUCCAAUGAGGGUAUACGGAAAAAAGGGAUAACAAUGGAUCAUGUUCCAAAGCGUAUUAGAGCUGAAAUAAGAACAAAUUGCAAAGUUCGGAUGACUAUAUCAUUGGAUCGAGUGGCAAAAAAUUAUGAAGUCACGGAUAUUGUGGUGGGACAUAAUCAUCACCUUCAAUUGCCACAAACAUGUCACUUGAUGGCAUCACAAAUGAAGAUAUCCGAACUACAAGCAUUUGAAAUAGUUCUUGACUAUGCACACUUUGGUGAUGUUGUCACAUUUGAUACUACUUUUGGCACAAACAAAGAAUAUAUGCCAUUUGGUAUUUUUCUUGGCCUCAAUCAAUUCAGGGAAACCACCAUUUUUGGUGCAGCAUUGCUAUUUGAUGAAACAUGUGACUCAUUUAAAUGGCUCUUUGAGACUUUUCUAGCUGCAACCUAGAACAAUUUAUAUAGAUCAAGAUGCAGCAAUGGGUAAAGCCAUAGGCAAAGUUUUCACAGAAUCAUAUCAUGGAUUGUGCACCUUUCAUAUAAUGCAAAAUGUUGUCAAGCAUUUAUCUUCAUUGAAGGGUGAAGAAAAAGAAGAAGGGAAAGAUGAAGGGAAAGGUGAACAUGAAGAGGAAGAGUCCCAUAUACUUACUGAUUUUAGUGAAUGCAUGUAUGGGUAUGAGGACAAAGCAGAAUUUCACAAAGCAUUUGAAAAUAUGAGACAAAAAGUGCAUAAGAAAACUUGGUUGGAUAGUAUCUUCAAGUUGAAAGAAAAGUGGGCUUGAUAAGUUGCUUAAGGGGAAGCGCAAGCCAAUUAAAGUGGUCUCAUCCAACAACAAAAAAGCAGAGGUUAUAUACAUAUGUACAACUACUCUCCGUUCAUGGUUUGCGCUACAAAAGGUGGAGAACCGCGACCUGUUUACGGAGGUCUGUACACGGUUGGAGGACACAGCGAUGGAUACUUUUUCCCUACAUGGGUGGCAGCAUAAUCUACGGAUUGGGCAUCCGCCUUCAUCUUAGGCGUUUUACAUUCACUCUAUCUAUUAUGUAAUUCGUCUUUUUAGCUUUCAAGACUUUUGAGACAUGUUAAACGGCUGUGUGCAUCUUAGCUAUGCAGAGGUCGGAUGUAAUUGCUUCUGUUGAGUAAUAAAGCGCCCAUUAUCUAAAAAAAAUCGACCUGGUGUACAUGGCUCGCU